rnacentral:rRNA from 1 species
CACGUAGGGGACGAGCGUUGUCCGGAAUUAUUGGGCGUAAAGCGCGCGCAGGUGGUUUCUUAAGUCUGAUGUGAAAGCCCACGGCUCAACCGUGGAGGGUCAUUGGAAACUGGGGAACUUGAGUGCAGAAGAGGAAAGUGGAAUUCCAAGUGUAGCGGUGAAAUGCGUAGAGAUCCGGAGGAACCCCAGAGGCGAAGGCGGCGUCCUGGCUCGCAACUGACGCUCAGACACGACAGCAUGGGGAGCGAACGGG